rnacentral:tRNA from 1 species
GCGUCCGUAGCUCAGCUGGAUAGAGCACCAGUUUCCGGAACUGGGGGUCACAGGUUCAAGUCCUGUCGGGCGCACCA